GACGAACGCUGGCGGCGUGCUUAACACAUGCAAGUCGAAUGGAAAGGCCCUGCUUUUGUGGGGUGCUCGAGUGGCGAACGGGUGAGUAACACGUGAGUAACCUGCCCUUGACUUUGGGAUAACUUCAGGAAACUGGGGCUAAUACCGGAUAGGAGCUCCUGCUGCAUGGUGGGGGUUGGAAAGUUUCGGCGGUUGGGGAUGGACUCGCGGCUUAUCAGCUUGUUGGUGGGGUAGUGGCUUACCAAGGCUUUGACGGGUAGCCGGCCUGAGAGGGUGACCGGCCACAUUGGGACUGAGAUACGGCCCAGACUCCUACGGGAGGCAGCAGUGGGGAAUAUUGCACAAUGGGCGGAAGCCUGAUGCAGCAACGCCGCGUGCGGGAUGACGGCCUUCGGGUUGUAAACCGCUUUCGCCUGUGACGAAGCGUGAGUGACGGUAGUGGGUAAAGAAGCACCGGCUAACUACGUG
rnacentral:rRNA from 1 species